rnacentral:rRNA from 1 species
AUUGAACGCUGGCGGCAAGCUUAACACAUGCAAGUCGAGCGGAGAUGAGGUGCUUGCACCUUAUCUUAGCGGCGGACGGGUGAGUAAUGCUUAGGAAUCUGCCUGUUAGUGGGGGACAACAUUCCGAAAGGAAUGCUAAUACCGCAUACGUCCUACGGGAGAAAGCAGGGGAUCUUCGGACCUUGCGCUAAUAGAUGAGCCUAAGUCGGAUUAGCUAGUUGGUGGGGUAAAGGCCUACCAAGGGGACGAUCUGUAGCGGGUCUGAGAGGAUGAUCCGCCACACUGGGACUGAGACACGGCCCAGACUCCUACGGGAGGCAGCAGUGGGGAAUAUUGGACAAUGGGGGGAACCCUGAUCCAGCCAUGCCGCGUGUGUGAAGAAGGCCUUAUGGUUGUAAAGCACUUUAAGCGAGGAGGAGGCUACUGAGACUAAUACUCUUGGAUAGUGGACGUUACUCGCAGAAUAAGCACCGGCUAACUCUGUGCCAGCAGCCGCAGUAA